UGGGGAAUUUUGGACAAUGGGCGCAAGCCUGAUCCAGCCAUGCCGCGUGCGGGAAGAAGGCCUUCGGGUUGUAAACCGCUUUUGUCGGGGAAGAAAUACUCUGGACUAAUACUCUGGGGUGAUGACGGUACCUGAAGAAUAAGCACCGGCUAACUACGUGCCAGCAGCCGCGGUAAUACGUAGGGUGCGAGCGUUAAUCGGAAUUACUGGGCGUAAAGCGUGCGCAGGCGGUUGUGUAAGACAGAUGUGA
rnacentral:rRNA from 1 species